CCCUUAGAUGUUCGGGGCCGCACGCGCGCUACACUGAAUGAAUCAGCGAGUGUAUGUCCUAGGCCGAAAGGUCCGGGUAACCCGUUGAACCUCAUUCGUGAUUGGGAUAGGGACUUGCAAUUGUUUCCCUUGAACGAGGAAUUCCCAGUAAGCGCAAGUCAUCAACUUGCGUUGAUUACGUCCCUGCCCUUUGUACACACCGCCCGUCGCUACUGCCAACUGAGAUGGGUCCUGAAUUGUUAGGAACGCCCGUCAAGGGGCCUACCCGGUCCCUAGUGCGGUGACGAGAAUAACUGUAAAUGGCAUAUCUUGUAGGGAGUAAAAGUCGUAACA
rnacentral:rRNA from 1 species